rnacentral:rRNA from 1 species
UACGUAGGGUGCAAGCGGUAAUCGGAAUUACUGGGCGUAAAGCGUGCGCAGGCGGUGUUGUAAGUCUGAUGUGAAAUCCCCGGGCUCAACCUGGGAAUUGCAUUGGAGACUGCAAGGCUAGAAUCUGGCAGAGGGGGGUAGAAUUCCACGUGUAGCAGUGAAAUGCGUAGAGAUGUGGAGGAACACCGAUGGCGAAGGCAGCCCCCUGGGUCAAGAUUGACGCUCAUGCACGAAAGCGUGGGGAGCGAACAGG